GAUUUUUACAUGGGCUGAAAUUGAGAAGACAUUAAGUGGAUAUUUCCCAAAGUUUUACGUGAUUAUGUUUGAAUGCCUUUGUCGUAAUGCAGCCACAUUGGGAGAUAAACCGUUGAAGAUGAUGUCCCAUUUAGCUGAUGUUUCUGAUUUUCCGCGUCUUUGAAGAUGAGGUGGAUGGAGAUGGAGUGGGGGGCUUAUUUCAAGUCCAUUGUUGUUCAAUUGGACGAAAAAACCACAGGUUAUGUAGAUUUAGCAGAAAACAAAAGUAGUGCACUCAGUCGAG